GGUUUUUACAAAACUAGAGAACUACAGAUGUUUUGUUCAGGGACACCAUGGGAAAAACGAACAUUUGCAAGGUAGACUGGGAGACUGGCCACAUUUCUGGUGUUUCCAAAUGACUGGCUUAAAAAAUGAAUUUUUGUUUUUUUGUUACAGGGGAUCAAACUCAGGUCCUUGUGCUUGCGGGGCAGGCAGCGGCACCACUGCGCUAAAUCCCUGGCCCCUAAAAAAUGAAUUUUUGAAGAAUAAUCAAAAGGAUUCAAAUAAGAGGAAAUAUUUUCUUAACUCAUCCCAGGAGACCAGACUUACCCUGAUAUGGAGGCCCAAAAAAGACACCGCAAGAAAAGCAAACUACAGAUCACUACCUGCUGCAAACACAGAGGCAAAAGUCCUCAACAGGAUACCAGCAAAUCAAACUCGGCAGUGUGGAAUAAAUUUAACUGAGGAGGCUAAAUACGUCUACCCUGAAGACUACUAAACACUACUGAAAGAAAUUAAAGAUGAUAUAAACAAAGGAAAAGAUAUUCUCUGUGUGGAUUGGAUGAUUUAAUAUUGUUAAGAUGAAAAUACUACCCCCCAAAAGAAAAUACUACCUAAACCAAAC
rnacentral:lncRNA from 1 species